rnacentral:lncRNA from 1 species
CUAAGCAUCCAAUCGUACUCAUCUUUUCAUAUCUAUAAAUAGGAAAGAUAUCGCACUUUUAGUGUAUCAGAACAAUAUCUCUUUCCAUCCGAAUAACAUCAGAUUAGAGGAGAGAAUUGAGAGCACUAAUUGAGCGAACUCAAAUACACCCAUUAAGCACUUAAGAAGAGGAUUGUGUCCACAUAAAAGAGGAUUGAGAGAAAAAUUAUUUCAAUCAAGUUUUUUGAUUUUUAACGUAUCUGGAUUUGGCU